GACGUAGGGGGCCAGCGUUGCUCGGAAUUACUGGGCGUAAAGGGUCCGUAGGCGGCUUGUUAAGUCGGAGGUGAAAUCCUGGAGCUCAACUCCAGAACUGCCUUCGAUACUGGCGAGCUCGAGUCCGGGAGAGGUGAGUGGAACUGCGAGUGUAGAGGUGAAAUUCGUAGAUAUUCGCAAGAACACCAGUGGCGAAGGCGGCUCACUGGCCCGGUACUGACGCUGAGGUGCGAAAGCGUGGGGAGCAAACAGG
rnacentral:rRNA from 1 species